rnacentral:rRNA from 1 species
CGGACGGGGGCCCGCAACAAGCGGCGGAGCAUGCGGAAUUAAUUCGAUGACAACGCGAAGAACCUUACCAAGGCUUGACAUACACCGGUAACGCCCAGAGAUUGGGUCGCCCCCUUUUGUGGUCGGUGGACAGGUGGUGCAUGGUUGUCGUCAGCUCGUGUCGUGAGAUGUUGGGUUAAGUCCCGCAACGAGCGCAACCCUCGUCCUAUGUUGCCAGCGGGUCAUGCCGGGACUCAUGGGAGACUGCCGGGGUCAACUCGGAGGAAGGUGGGGAUGACGUCAAAUCAUCAUGCCCCUUAUGUCUUGGGCUUCACGCAUGCUACAAUGGCCGGUACAAAGGGCUGCGAUACCGCGAGGUGGAGCGAAUCCCAGAAAGCCGGUCUCAGUUCGGAUUGGGGUCUGCAACUCGACCCCAUGAAGUCGGAGUCGCUAGUAAUCGCAGAUCAGCAACGCUGCGGUGAAUACGUUCCCGGGCCUU